AAUUGUUUUUCUCGUCUCUAUUUCAUUUAUUUCUGUUCUACAUUUUAUUAUUCCUUUUACUAACUUUGGGCUUUGUUAUUUUUCUAUUUCUUUGGGGUAUAACUUUAGGUUGUUUAUGUGAGAUCUUUUCUUCUAUUAAUGUAAUCAUUUGUUGCUAUAAAAUUCCCUUCAAUAACUGCUUUUGCUGCAUCCCAUACAUCCCAUUUUGUUUGUUUGUUUUUUCCAGUUUUGUUUGUUUCAAGGUAUUUUUGUCUCUGCUUUUAAUUUCUUUUUUGACCCAUUGGUUUUUCAGGAGUGUGUUGCUUAAUAUCUAUAUAUUGUGAGUUUUCCAAUUUUUCUCCUAUUAUUGAUUUCUAGUUUCAUUUCAUUGUGAUUGGAAAAGAUAUUUCACAUGAUUUCAAUCUCCAUAAAUUUGUCAAGAUUUAUUUUGUUGCUUAACAUGUGAUCUAUCCUGGAGAAUGUUCCAUGUGGCUUUCAGAAUGUGUAUUUUGCUUCUGUUGGAUAGAAUGUUAUGUAUAUGUUCAUUAUAUCUGUUUUGUAUCUAGUGUUUAACUCCACUGUUUCCUUAUUUAUUUUCUGUCUGGAUGAUCCAUCCAUUGUUGGGUGGGGUAUGGAUUUCUUCUACUAUGUAUUACUAUUUUAUGUCUUCCUGAUGAAUUGAUCCUUUUGUUAGUAUAUAUAAUGACUUUCUUUGUCUCUUAUGACAGUUUUUGACUUGAAGUCUAUUUUAUCUCAUAUAAAUAUAGCCACCUGUGCUCUCUUUUGUUUAUUUUUAUGGGAUGUGGUUUUCAUCCAUUCAUUUUCAGGCUAUUUGUGUUCCUUUCUUCCUCUCUUGCUGUCUUCCUUUGUGGCUUCUUUAUUAUUAUUAUUUGUGGUAGUAUGCUUUGAUUCUUUUCUUUUUAUCUUUUUUGUAUCUACUACAGGUUUUUGUGUGUGUGAUUACCAUGAGGCUUAUAUAAAACAUCUUGCAGUUAUAAUAGUAUAUUUUAAGCUGAUAACAAUUUUUAUUACAUACAAAGACUGUACACUUUCACUUCUCCCCCAUAUUCUAUAUUAUUUAUAACACAAUUUACAUCUUUUUAUAUUGUGUAUCCAACUAUAUGCCAUCAUCACAGUAUUACAGAAUUCUGAGUUUGACUAUAUACUUACGUUUAUCAGUGAGUAUAUGUUUUCAUGUUGCUAAUACAUGUUCCUUUCAUUUCAACUUGAAGAUCUCCCUUUCACAUUUCUUGUUAGGCAAGUCCAGGGGUGAUGAACUUCCUCAGUUUUGGUUUGUCUGGGAAGGUCUUUAUCUUUCUUUCCUUUUUGAAGGAUGGCUUUACUGGGUAUGUUUUUGGUUGGCAGUUUUUUUUUCUUUCAGCACUUUGAGCAUAUCAUUCCACUUUCUCUUGGUCUGCAGGGUUUUUGGCGAGAAACCCAUUGAUAGUCUUAUGGAGGUUCCUUUGUAUGUGUUGAGUUGUUUUUCUUUUGCUGCUUUAAAAAUUCUCUGGUAAAAAGAAUUUGAGGAGGUUAAAAAAUAAAAUAAAACAAAAAUUUAAAAAAUCUCUCUUUGUCUUUGAUUUUUGACUAUUUGAUUAUAAUGUGUCUUGGUGAAGACCUUUUUAUUCUCAAUGUAUAUGUAGUUCUUUGGGUUUAAUGGAUCUGGGUGUUUUUUUUUUUCUCUUUACAGAUUUGGAAGGUUUUCUGUUAUUUUAUUUUUUGUAGUUUUUACAGUUUUAUUUAAACAGAACGUGCACAUGAGCUGUCUACUCAUUUUCUUCACUGCACAGCUUGGCAUUGGGGUUAGUGACUCUGAUGGCCAGCAGGCAGCUCUUUCCACGAUGGCUUUGUGGUUCUUGGAGGAAACAUUGUAAGCAAUCUCAGCACAGUAAGAUUUGUUGCACAUCAGCAGCACUUCCAGGUCCUUCAUGUUGUGGACCAGGAACUUUUGGAAGCCACUGGGCUGCAUAUGCUUUGUUUUUUUGUUGCUCCUAUAACCAGUGUUGGGCAUCAAGAUCUGGCCCUUGAACCUUCCGCGAACCCUGUUGUCAAUAUCUCUGGGUUUCUGCCAGUUACGCUUAAUUUUGACAUAUCAGUCUGACUGGUGCCAGAUGAACUUCUUCGUUCUCUUUUUGUGAUCUUGGACUUUACAAGGGGUCUGAGGGUGGCCAUGAUGCCAAGGAGGAGAUGGCUGCCACCUUGGCAAUGCCAAGGAAGAGAGCCAUUAUAUUUUAAAAUAAGCUUUCUUUCCCUUUCUCUUUCUCUGGUCCUUUUGGGAUUUCUGUGAUAUGUAUAUUAUUUUACUUGAUGUUUUCAUAAGUCCAGCAGAGUUGAGCCAGCUGCUAAGACCCAUGCCUGUUGUUAAUGUUCAUGUUCUCUCUCUGCAGCAGUUAAUGUGGGCCAUGCACAAUGGUAUUGGGCCCCAUAUAUGGUGGGGUAGGUCAUGUAGGGUACAUAGACUUGUUGGGUGGGGUUCCUCAGGUGAGUCAUCUGGUGAGAUUUGUGGGCAAAUCUCCUGCUGGGGCCUGUGAGCUAGUUGGCAGAAUCUGUGGUUGGUUGUUGAAACCACAUGCCAGUUUCUGUGCACUUCACUCCCUUCUCCCUGUUUCUAGGUGAUCAGUCAUCUGUAUUCUGGGCAGGGAGAGACAUAAGUGAGCCUCCUGGUCAGUGUUCUUCAAGUCUGGGGAAGCUAGGUGUUCACUAUACUUUCACCUUCCCCUGUGGGAGAAAUGGAAGGCCAAAAAAGCUUCCCUCAGCACAAGCUGUGCCUCUGUGGGGAAGGGAUAAUGCAGGUAAAGUGGAACUGCACGUGUUACCCUUUUCAGUGCUUCCACUCUUGGGUUGAUUUGCUCCAGUGGCAUGAUGGAACCUCAGCCAGACUCCAGGCCUCCCACGUAGUGAUUCUCAUCUGUCACUGCCUGCCUUAACUGGUGUUUCUAUAGGGGGAUGAGAGCUGGAACAUCCUACCCUGCCGUGCUACUGAUUUCACUCCUGACUGAAUUUUGAAGAAUGAACAGAACUCACUAGAUGUAUAAGGAGAAAAGAGCAUCCUAAGCAGAGGGAACUCCAGUUACAAAGGCAGAGAAAUUUAAUCUAUCAAGGUGUUUGUGAUGGACAGUAAGUUUUUUGUGGGACUGGGGUGUAGGGUUCAUGGAAGGAGACAGUAGGAGUGUGUAAUUGGAAAGCUAGUCAGAGGCCAGAUUACCGUGGGCUCAUAUGGACAGUGAAAACUAUAAAGGAAAAUGGAAAACUUGUGAUGGCUCUACUCAUUGAAAUUUACCAGUGAAGACUUUUCCUUCUAUCUGAGCAGGAUUUUAGACAUGGAUUCAUCAACGAGCAGUUGCAGUACUGUACGUGAGAGAAGUCAGGAGUGAUAGUGGAGCUAAGAGACAGAGACAUCAGGAAAGGGAUUCUUUCUGUUGCAAGUAAUGAAAAGUCAACUAAAAAUGGCUUAUGAGAAAGAAAAGGAAGAUAUUGAUUCAUAAAAAUGGAAAAUCCAUGUUCACAAGGCCUUCAGGACAUUGACAUUUUGGAGAGCCUAGGCUAGCUAGUGUACAGUGUCUUUCAAUUUGGAUUUGCCUGAUUGUUGCCUCAUGAUUAGAUUCAGCUUAAACAUUUUUUGGCAAGACUACGCCAUAGGUGAUGUGUGACCAGUCACUUCAGGUGCUACUCUUAGACAAUUGCUGGCCAGCUGCCUGUGCGUACUACCAUCCCAUCCCCACCUUCCAUCAUUUCCAUCACCUGAAGUCUUCCAGGAGGACAGCAAGUUUCUGGAUACUCGUAAAUAUUACUUGUUGGAAACAGAUGCUGGUGCCGCAAAGAAAAAUCAACACUCAGACAAAGGAUCUCUCAGCAAAGCAAUUUUACUUCCUUCAGAAAGGGUGCUCCUGUUAGCCAUCUUGCCAUGAGAGUAAAGUGAACAAAGGAAAAGCAGAAUAUUUAUUCCUUACACAUUUGGAGUGGUCCUUCCUGCUGUGUCUGAUCUCUGCUGAUUGGAGCCAGGCCUCGCUAUCUAAACUAAAACCUGAUGGGCUAACAACUUAAAACUUUUCUAAACAGGUAAAAGCAAUGGAGAACAAAAGGAAAAGAGGAAGUCCAAAUAAGGAAGGGACAGGAAGUUGCUUGUGAAAGGACUUAGAAAAGUAAUAACAGAAACCUUAUUUAUGUUAAAGUACAAGGACACAGAAUGCAUUUCGUGCCUGUGAGCAUGUCUAGCACAAAUAUCUUGGUUAAAGCACAAGGACAUGGAACGUACUUAUUCCUUUAUAUCUAACAGCUACUAGGAUAGGGCUUAACGAAGAGUCGCUAAUAAAAAACAAGAAGGCUUUGAAGAAAGUUAGUCUUUAAAAGAGACUAUUAUUUCUAACAUUUAUUAUUCUUUAACAAGACAGGAAACUUUGAAGAGGCACUUUUCUUCUUCCCACAUGACUUGUGAGCUUUAAGUUACUCAGUGAUUUAACCUGUGAUGGUGGUUGUCUUUAAACAUGUCAUGAUUUUUUUCUUUAACCGUUUUUAGUGUGGACUGUAUAAAACAUACAAAAGGCCACCAUACUUAUAUAUAAUUUUAAAAUAAUUUAAAACAAAUUAAAAAGUACCCAGAUAGCUACAACCCAGUCCAAGAGUUAGAAUAUGGACAGAGUCCCAUGAUGCACAAUUUCCCUAUGCCAUCCCCUGCCUGCAACAGACCUUUUCCUCUUCCGGAAGUCACCACUUUUCUAACGUGUGACAGUCACUUCCUUGCAUACCUUUAUAGUUUUGUCACUUCUAUGUGCAUUGCUUAGUUUUGCCUUUUAUGUUUAGAUCUUCAAUCUACUUGAAAUUUAUGUAUAUCAAUAAAUAAAAAUUUAUGUGUGAUAUAAAUUUAUGUAUAAAAUUUAUGUAUGAUAUAAAUAUACAUUUGUUUGUGUAUGAUAAAAUAUAAGACCAUGCUUCUCUGUCCC